UCCUGUAUCGAAAGUGAUUAUGGCGGUGUUGUGCCCUGGUCAUUGAUAGUACAGGAACAUCAACCUGCGAGCCUUUCCCGUGUUUGAAGGAUUCUGUUCUGUCAAACCCUGGCGCUCGCAGACA
ensembl:snoRNA SNORA71 Small nucleolar RNA SNORA71